rnacentral:rRNA from 1 species
AUGACUAGAGAUAAUCUUAGGAGAAGACACAUCAUUAAACCUCUGACUUGUGUGUUUUGUUCCUCGGAUGAGUCCAUUCAGCAUUUAUUAUUCGAUUGUGUGGUAGCUAGAAUCAUGUGGGCUCUGGUAAGAGACCACUUCAACAAAGAACUAGGAUCAGAUCUUUCUGUUGCUAGGUUUUGGGUUGCUAAUAAGAAGAAUGCAGCUCUUAAUGUUGCUAGUUCAGCCACGCUGUGGUGUUUAUGGAAAUUUAGAAAUUCCAUGAUCUUUAAUAAUGUUAUGUGGUCCAACAUUAAGAAGGUGAUAGGGAAGCUUCAAACUAUGGUUUAAAACUGGAUGAUCCUCUGUGGGGAAUAGGAAAGAUCCCAGCUGGAAGCAUUCACCUCCUUCCUAGCGAUUCAUCUGGCGAAGUGGCUCGGUUUGACCAUGGGCUGA